rnacentral:lncRNA from 1 species
AGAGAGUAAAGAUUCUAGUUAGACUUUUGUACUUGAUCCUAAUCUGUUCUAAGGUUUUUUAGAACAAAUGUAACUCCCACUAUUUUCUCGAAUUCCUCACACUCCCCUGGUAGGAAAACGGAAAUCUCACACGACUAGGGUUUCUAGUGGGUACUGUGGUCCCACCAAUUUACAUGCCACCUCACCUAACAGUUAUUGGUGACACAUAGAUUGAUGAAUGUACAACUCUUGUACAAUGCUUCUCAAGCAUGUUGCAAUACUUCUUGGUCUCUAAGCCAUGAAGACCUCACCUAACAGUUAUUGGUCCCAUUUCUUAGUCAAGUCAGACCCACAGUAUAACCGUAGGAAUAAAGUCGUCAUUAGGUCCUCACCUAACAGUUAUUGGUGCCCAACCCCACCUU